rnacentral:lncRNA from 1 species
CGACUGAAAGAUUCCAAAAAGGGUGAGAAAGACAGACUGUGACUGAGAGAUUCGAUUUUAGGAGAUAUUUUGUGACUUGAAGAUUCCAAACGAAGGUGCGACGGUAAAGGCAGAAUGAAAAUUAGAGAUGGUGGGGAAGCUCCCAUAUACAGUAAGUAGCGUACUUUAGUUUCUUUGUUUGAUGCAAUUGUUUGGGUUUUACUGUCGGAUUUCAUUGCUGGACUUGAUGAAAAAUAAUAAAAGGAAGAAAGUGGUCCCUAUGGUUGUUGUUUGUUGACCGAGACUUAGGUUGGG